ACAACCGUCAACAUGCUGACGAUUGACUUUGGGACACUAUUCCCAACACUUCGGCCAUGGGUCGGCUCUAGUCCACCAAUUUAUCACAUCACAUGGGCAAUCAGUCGGAAUCUUCACACUGACGCCUAAAAUGUGAUCAUAUCGCCCAUGACUAACAACCUAAUUAGCAGGUGGGUAUCCUACCUUGAUAACCUACCAGUCAAGGUAUAACAAACUCAGGCAUCUCUCUAUAUAUAAAG
rnacentral:lncRNA from 1 species